rnacentral:lncRNA from 1 species
GAAAAUAACUGGUCAACAAACAAAUUUGCUUGUUUACAUUUAAGAAAAAUUAUCUCGGCUCUAAUAAUUCAUAUCGAUUUAAGUAAUUAAAUAAAAAUAAACCGAUUUCACAAUGAUAUUCCCAUUCCCGUUGUAAAAGUGAUUAUUCACUCUGUAGCGGAACUACUUCUCGUCUUACCUAUGAGUUACAGAGGUCAAAGUGAUAGUUACUUUGUGUUAAAACUAAUAAAGUAACCUCAUCAAAUCUUCUAAGAUUGCCUGAUGAUCCAAAUUUAAGGAGAAAAUGGAUAAUGAAGUAAAUGAAAUAUCAUGAAGAAGAUGAAUCAAAGAACAUAAUUAAUAAAUCAUUGCUUAUUGAAGUGCCAAAUGCCACCACACAACCAAAGAAAAUAAUGGUUGUGGGACCCAUUUUGGAUGUAAACAGUAUUAAAAAUAUUAUUACUACUGAAACGGAUCCUUUGCCUGGAAUCAGUGGCUCUUCACAAAUUAUAUGUGAUAAAAAUGGAACAAAUACCAUAAAUUUAAAAAAUUCACCUGCAGGCUCACAAAAGAAAAUAGUUAAAAAUGUACACAAUGUUGCUGAUGCUGUAAUUAUGAAAUCAUUUUCAAACUCUGCAAUAGGAAACAAGAAUGUAAUGGCAGUAUUACCGAAUGAACAGGACAAAAUGAUGUGUACUCAAACAAAUACAAACUCAAGAAAAAGGGUAUUUCAUGAUAGCGCUGUAAUAAAUUUAGUAGGUGAAAAUGGUUAUGAAUCUCCCGCCAUAAAAGUGUCCAAAAAUGGAUUUGGAUCAAAUAGUAUGACUAUGUGUUCACAAUGGAACAGAACGGAGGAAACGACAUUUCGUGAUAGAUCAACACAAACAAAAGGGGCUAGCUCCAUAACUAUGUUAAGGAAGUUAAAGAUACUUAAUCAAAAAAUUAGAAGGCGGAGCGUAGCGUUGACUCAACUUAGAACUGUGCUUAAGUUAAUUAAAAAAUGUAAGAAUUUUUCACAACUACAACAGGUACUGUCUACCAAAUUGACACCAGAUCCAAAAUAAAAUAUAAAUUUUAGGAUAGAUUGAAUAUUGAAGAGAUAGAAAGCUAAGAUUACAAAUGCAUUUGUUCUAUAUAAUAAAAUUCAAAAAUGUACUUUAAAAUUUUCAUUGCCAUUUCAAAACUUUCAUAAAAAGCAAUGGUGACCAGCCACAUAGAAAAAGUAAGUAAUAAUAUACAAAUGACCAAAAAUCGUUGUACUUAUGAAACUUGUUUAUUAUGUUAGCUUUUAUCUAAUCAUGUGAAAAUGAUUAAUUGUGAUCCUGUAUACAUGAUUAUAAUUGUGUUUGUCAAGGGGAUAGGCAGCGGUCAAUAAAGAAUUUGCCAUUGUACAGAUGCCUGUAUGCAUGUGCCAUGUACCUGACUAUAUGAAAGUCCAAAAGAUUAUAUUUCAAUGAAUGACUGAAUGAUUUAGGUCUUUCUAAUAAAUCGUUUAAUCAAUCAAACUCCCCAAAAUAGGUAAUAAAUAGGCUUAUCAUAUAUCAGCACAUAUUAUAUACAAAAAAAAUUCAAAAUUUUUAUUCAUU